UGAUUACUCGAGGAACCUUUCCCUCGGGCUUCAUAUGUGAUCCGGACCAGAUUGUGAAUAGCAAGUCCUUCUUCGGUCUGGUCCCCAAGGUGCUUGCCAUGGGUUGUCGUCAGCUCCGUUGCUGUGAGGUGUCGGGUUAAGUCCCCAUAACGAGCGCAACCCUUAUCUUUAGUUGCCAGCGAGUAAUGUCGGGGACUUUAAAGAGACUGCCCGUGUAAACGGGAGGAAGGUGGGGAUGACGUCAAAUCAUCACGGCCCUUACGUCCAGGGCUACACACGUGCUACAAUGGUGAGUACAGAUGGUUGCUGCUUGGUGACAAGUUUGCUAAUCUAUAAAACUCAUCUCAGUUCGGAUUGGAGUCUGAAACUCGACUCCAUGAAGUUGGAAUCGCUAGUAAUCGCAUAUCAGCCAUGAUGCGGUGAAUACGUUCCCGGGCCUUGUACACACCGCCCGUCAAGCCAUGGAAGUUGGGAGUGCCUAAAGUCGGAAACCAUAUAGGAUCCGCCUAGGGUAAAACCGAUAACUAGGGCUNNGUCGUAACGGAAUAGCCGUAAUCGAAUUUNNCCGGCCGGAR
rnacentral:rRNA from 1 species